rnacentral:lncRNA from 1 species
AGUGUCAGCAGAAGAUGCCAUCAUCUGUGACACAGAAUCUCUGCAGAUAAGGGGAAGCUCAUCCUUGCAGUUUGUUCCGUUCAUAAACUCUGCAACAAAGCACAGACAGUAAUGCCCAGGAUGUGUGUUUUCAGCUCCAAUGACAAGAUGUGAAUUUUGCAGAUGAUCUGGAAGAAGCCACGAACCUCGAACUGGAUUGCUUUGAAGCUCUUGGAUGCUUUCAAAUUCUUCUAUAAUCAUUAGGAAGUGAAGCUUACAAUCUGUAAGAAGCCAAAGCAGUACUGUGUGAUUCAGCUAACAGUACAGAGGACGUUGAAAAUAUUUGGUUGCUGUGGACUUCUGGCUGAGCUGAAUUUACAACACCUUAAAAGAGAUGCAUGUGUUAAGAACAAGAAUAGCAGGGUAUUUUCGGUAGUCUUAGUAUUAUCAAAGAAUUUCAGAUUGGAUGCUCAAGCAUGGAAGCCCCUGAAGUCUUCUGUUUCUGGGAUCUUCUGAAAGAAGUUCUCCUGAAACUGGAAGAUUAGCCGAGGUUUUAAGGGAGAAAAAAGCAGAUUCUGCAUACAGAUGACAUUUAUUUAGUUCCUCAUGCUGGGUAUGAUGGCCAGAACCACAGAUUUGGAUUAAAUGUGAAGGCUGAAAACAUUUGGCUUUGGGUUAACACAACAGCUUGGCCAACAGAAGUGACGCGAUGAAUGCACUC